AUCAUAUGGUAGGGAACACCCUUCAGAUGUUGACCCCAGCAGCCAUGCCUAUAGGCCAGGUCAGAAACAACCAACGUGCUCAAAAUAGAAACUCCUUAUCAACCACUGGUCACUGGGGUUGAGAGCACCAUGUAUAAGACCACAGCAUUUGUUAUGUGGCCAGCACCAAUAAGGCAGAAAAUGAGGAAGAUCAGAAAGAGCUUCCUUUCUUCUAGGAUGGCUUGAUCAGGAGGCUCUUCAGGUGUGGCUGCCAGCAGUACCAAACUUUUCCUUACAACUUAGCAACUCUAUUCCAGCAAAGUCCCAGGCUAGUCACAUGCCAUGCUAAUUUCUGAAUCUGUCACCAUGACUCUGUCCAAGUCUGGCUUCUGUCGAGCUCUGAAGCCAGAACGUGAAAUUGGCCCCAUGAAACCACAUGGCCCGAAGGACCAAGUCUUUGCAAAACCUAUCAAAUGGAUGGAUGGCUUCAAGACAGCAGAGAACCCACAAGCUUGAAGAGGCCUCCGGAGAGUUCACUCAGGAUAAACGGGGUGCUGGCAUCGUCCUGGUCCUCUCUGUACAGUAACAGUGUUACAGCCCUGUGAGUUCAGUAGUAAAGGAUCUGGAGUCCAUGGGGAAAUUCUAAGGAGAUCAAUGGAACUGAUAUAUUAUAUAGCCAAAUACUUAUUAAUAAAGUAACCAUCCUUAUAAAGGCUGAUUUAGGCAAGCCUCUGCCUUCAGGAGGAAGUUCACUGAAACAAACCUGGCAGAUUGAUGACUCUGUCUUUCAAAUCUCCAGGAAAUAUGGUUUCAUAAUUUUUCUUUAUCACCUAGCCCCAACUUUAAUUUUCAUAAUUCAGUGUGUAAAGCACUGUGCCAGGUUUCUAGUGAGUACACAAUGAGGAAGCCAUACUCUUUGCAUUCAAGAGUUUAUAUAGUUAUACAAAAGCACUUACUAAUGACAAUAUCAGCAACUAACAUUUGAAUGCUUACUAUGUGCUUGGAACUUUAUCUCCUUUAAACCAACAAUAGCCCCAUUAAGUGGGUAAUAUUAUUAGUCCCAUUCUACAGAUGAAAAAACCAAGGCUCACGUAAGUUACAUGAUUUACUAAGGGUCACACAACUGGAAUGGUGGAAUUGAGAUUUAAUCCAGGCAGUCUAUGCCUGUUUAGCAAGUUCUGUUACAGAAGCAUAAGAAAAAGAGACACAAAGCACAAAAGAUUAGAUAUAUUUCAAAUAUGGGAGGACUUUAAAACUGAGAGGAGGUGGUACAGACACAACCGGGGCAGGGAGCAGGUUGUAGUGAAUCUAGAAUGGAGAACAGGCUGGUUGUCAGUAAGAAGUGACGAGAGAGAGAGGUGGGAAAUGACUGAACAGAGAGCUUGAAGCCAGAUCACGAAAGCUUGUCAAAGCUAUGCUAAAGGAGUUUGGAUUUCAUUCUGUAGACAAUGGGAAUGACAGAAAUGUGAACAUGGAAAUAAUAUGCUUUCUUUUGUGU
rnacentral:lncRNA from 1 species